UUGGAAGUCAUAUUUCUCCUCCAAAAGAAUCUGCCCUUGGCUUCAGCCCAAAAAUCAGUUUUACAGCGGCCAAACAUGGCCUACAAGAUAUCCUCGGUGCUUUUUAUACUAGUCCUGCUGCUAUCGUUUUCUCUACUCUUGCCUCCAUCUUCACCAACAAACACUCACUUAAUCGUGCAGAAGAUCAAUGAAGUGAUACGUAGGGAUUUAAUCGGAGCAAAACCUCCUCCAAAUGAUCAUCAUCCAGGUGGAGGGCAGAAUGGUCGUUAAUAAUGGUUGUUGUUAUUAUUAUUUUGGUUUUUUAUAAUUGCGGUCAUGGGUUGAUUAGAAUUGAACCCAAUAUUUUAUACUUAUAAUAUAAUAUUAUUAAGAUGUUGUUGGUGUAAAUACUUGUUAUUAGAUCCCAUAAUAUUGCAAUCCUGCUUAAAACAUUAUAUAUUUUAGAUAAUUUCAGUACCUUAAUAUUUUAUGUAAUAUAUAUUUGUAUUUAUUUGUA